UACGUAGGGGGCUAGCGUUGUCCGGAAUCAUUGGGCGUAAAGCGCGUGUAGGCGGCCCGAUAAGUCCGCUGUGAAAGUCCAGGGCUCAACCCUGGGAUGCCGGUGGAUACUGUCGGGCUCGAGUCCGGAAGAGGCGAGUGGAAUUCCUGGUGUAGCGGUGAAAUGCGCAGAUAUCAGGAAGAACACCCGUGGCUAAGGCGGCUCUCUAGUACGGUACUGACGCUGAGACGCGAAAGCGUGGGGAGCGAACAGG
rnacentral:rRNA from 1 species